CCUCUUCGGAGGUACUCGAGUGGCGAACGGGUGAGUAACACGUGGGUGAUCUGCCCUGCACUCUGGGAUAAGCCUGGGAAACUGGGUCUAAUACCGGAUAGGACCAUGCUUUAGUGUGUGUGGUGGAAAGUUUUUUCGGUGUAGGAUGAGCCCGCGGCCUAUCAGCUUGUUGGUGGGGUAAUGGCCUACCAAGGCGGCGACGGGUAGCCGGACUGAGAGGUUGGUCGGCCACAUUGGGACUGAGAUACGGCCCAGACUCCUACGGGAGGCAGCAGUGGGGAAUAUUGCACAAUGGGCGCAAGCCUGAUGCAGCGACGCCGCGUGGGGGAUGACGGCCUUCGGGUUGUAAACUCCUUUCGCCAGGGACGAAGCGUUUUGUGACGGUACCUGGAGAAGAAGCACCGGCUAACUACGUGCCAGCAGCCGCGGUAAUACGUAGGGUGCAAGCGUUGUCCGGAAUUACUGGGCGUAAAGAGCUCGUAGGUGGUUUGUCACGUCGUCUGUGAAAUUCCACAGCUUAACUGUGGGCGUGCAGGCGAUACGGGCUGACUUGAGUACUGUAGGGGUAACUGGAAUUCCUGGUGUAGCGGUGAAAUGCGCAGAUAUCAGGAGGAACACCGAUGGCGAAGGCAGGUUACUGGGCAGUUACUGACGCUGAGGAGCGAAAGCAUGGGUAGCAAACAGGAUUAGAUACCCUGGUAGUCCAUGCCGUAAACGGUGGGCGCUAGGUGUAGGGACCUUUUGGGGUUUCUGUGCCGUAGCUUAACGCAUUAAGCGCCCCGCCUGGGGAGUACGCCGCAAGGCUA
rnacentral:rRNA from 1 species